GACGAACGCUGGCGGCGUGCUUAACACAUGCAAGUCGAGCGGUAAGGCCCUUUCGGGGGUACACGAGCGGCGAACGGGUGAGUAACACGUGGGUGACCUGCCUUCAGCUCUGGGAUAAGCCUGGGAAACUGGGUCUAAUACUGGAUAUUACUCUGCGGUGCAUGCCGUGGGGUGGAAAGCCUUGUGCGGCUGGGGAUGGGCCCGCGGCCUAUCAGCUUGUUGGUGGGGUGAUGGCCUACCAAGGCGACGACGGGUAGCCGGCCUGAGAGGGCGACCGGCCACACUGGGACUGAGACACGGCCCAGACUCCUACGGGAGGCAGCAGUGGGGAAUCUUGCGCAAUGGGCGAAAGCCUGACGCAGCGACGCCGCGUGAGGGAUGACGGCCU
rnacentral:rRNA from 1 species